GCGCCGCUGUCUUCUCUCGACCCGAUCAGUGCUAUCAUCUUUGUGCCCUAGCGCCGGUUCACCAGCCAUCUAGUGGCGAGUUCUUCUCCCUCUCGUGAGUUUUCUUCCUCACUGAGCCGUGCCCUAGCAGUGUUGUAUUGUCACGCCUUCUGGCGCCAACGACUGGCGAUGCCUUAGGGAGCUCGGAGUCGCAGUGUCUCUCUUCCGAGCUUAUCGAGAUGGGUGUCGCUCCAUUCAAUUGUCGUGAUGCUGAGCUAAGAUAAGGCGACUUCGCAUGAUGAUCGGAGCCCUAGUUCCGGUUCCUCACUGCAACACCAGUGCAUCCUGCCCGACUACUGUUUUCGUUCAGCUGAUUGUUGGUGAUCAUCGGAGCCGAGCCUACUGUGCUCUAGUCUUGGAUCCAUCGUUCUGGUUGGCUCGCCAACACAGCUGCAGUUAGAGUUCAUACAAGGGAAAUUUAUGGAUCGAGACUAGUUCAUCCCAAUUUGGGAUUUGGAUUCGAGAUGAGUGUCUCGACGAGGGAUCUAUUACCGGAUUGGACCCUUCUAAUUGAGGCGGGUACCUCUUAACUUAUCUUUUUAUGAUAUUGUCAAUUGGAUAUGCAUAGUAUUUUAUAGCUG